GCAACAUUUGCUUCUUUGUAGAUGUAUAUAACAUGAUGGAAGCCACACUCUUGCAAUAGUCUGCGAAUGUCGAGAGCAACGGCUCAUCCUUGAGGGUGACUCGGCUAUGGUGAUCGACUAGAUCUAGGGUUGGGUCGUGCAGGCGAGGGCUGUAUUUUCUUGAAGAGGAGAAAAUAGCUAUACAAGUUUUCAUUGCAAGGAGCCAAUGAUGAAGGGUGGGUGGGAUGGAUUAGGAUACCUAUCCUUGGAGUCCCAUCCGUGUAUUGACUACAUUAGCUGGUCUGGGACUCAAACCUGGGAUUUUUACUAGAGUUGUU
rnacentral:lncRNA from 1 species